rnacentral:rRNA from 1 species
CUCCUACGGGACGCAGCAGUGAGGAAUAUUGGUCAAUGGCCGCAGGGCUGAACCAGCCAAGUCGCGUGAGGGAUGACGGUCCUAUGGAUUGUAAACCUCUUUUGUCAGGGAGCAAAGGGCGCCACGUGUGGCGUUUUGCGAGUACCUGAAGAAAAAGCAUCGGCUAACUCCGUGCCAGCAGCCGCGGUAAUACGGAGGAUGCGAGCGUUAUCCGGAUUUAUUGGGUUUAAAGGGUGCGCAGGCGGGAGCUCAAGUUAGCGGUAAAAUGUCGGGGCUCAACCCCGGGCGGCCGUUGAAACUGGUUU